AUGGAUACCAGACAGUUGUAUGGCAAUUUAUAUUCAGAUACACAUUUGAGACUCACCUUUAAUAUAGUGCCCUUGGAGGGUACUGCAUUACUGCAUUUGAGGUCAGCAGGAGGAGAGGAUGCUGGUCUAAUUAGCAGCAGAGGAAUCUUCUGUCGGCCCAACACCUGUCACCACAGGCUCAACACUGCCCUCUGCUUUCCGGAAGAGGAAGACAAUCAAGGUGUCUACACCAAGUGAAUGUGAAGCAUUCCUUGAUGCCAUUUUAAUUGAGGGAUUCCACCAAGAAUCCUGUUUAUGGUCAACAACUGAUUGCUGAUCCAAACCACUCUGUAGCUGUCCGCUGGAAUAAAAACCCGGAAAAAGCUACGGAACUGAAAUCC
ensembl:lncRNA